UAGUUUUGGCUGGGUGAACAGAUCGGACCAUUAUCCAGAUACUCGAAUUGUUUUCACUUUACAGAAAAAGUUUUAAAUAUGUAUCAGUCAUUUACUAAGAUAUGUGAAUUUACAUAGAAUGCGUUAUCGAAAUAAAGCUCAUUGUAAUAUAAAAAAAAAAAAGCCGUCGUUACCCAGAUACUAUGGCAUUGUAUAAAGGCGUUGCAAUAUACAUCGUGAAAGAAAGCGGACGUUCAAAAGAGUUUAUGGAAAGUACCUUGCAAUAAAGCUCAUUGUAAUACCAAGAGCCGUGUUACCCAGAUAUUAUGUUUUGCAUAAAUAGGCGUUACAACAAAGUACUUAAAAAUCGUGAAAGAGAACAGAUCCCCAACAGACCAUCAAUACAUUUACCUCUCUAUCUGAAUUUACAUAGACUUGCGUUAUAAAAUAAUGAAAUAGUCAAUAUACUGUUUAAGCAUGUUUUGAGGGACAUGUUUCUUCUCACUUCACGCAUGCAUGCUUAGGGUUGUAAUACAAAUCCUGCUACAAUUAUUUUUGUUUUCUUUUUUUUUAAAUACCAAGUUAUAUAAUUUGCAUAUCAUGCGUCACAAAAUGAUAAACAAAUGAUGAAACACUACUGCCAAUUCGAAAUAGCACCAGGGAAUGUAUCCGGACCGGUCCCCAAGCAUUUUAGCCCCCUCAAUAAACAACACCACCUGGCACCAUUGAAAUAUUUUGGAAACCUCACUCCUACACAUACUUAACCCCUUUAUUCCACAAGUGGCAAAGCUUAGAAAAGGGAACUGAAACCAACAGCCCUUGGCGCGACAAUCUUAUUAAAAUAUUAUUAUUGCUUUGGUUAGAACAAUUAAUGAACAAACUCUGGCAAAAAAAAAAAAAAAAAAAAAAAAAUUGCCUGAAAAAUCCCCCUUUUUUCUCAAUGUUGUCACUUCAUCUCCGAUACUCAACAUUUAAGGCAUUAUGGAGACGAAGUUGCACACAAAUCAAACCUCGCCUUCCACAUACCCAACAACGAUGAGAAACCCGAGGCUUCGCUUUAUAUUUCAUAUACACUGAAGAAAGAA